rnacentral:rRNA from 1 species
CUUGCGGGGGUGAUUAGUGGCGAACGGGUGAGUAAUACGUGAGUAACCUGCCCUUGACUCUGGGAUAAGCCUGGGAAACCGGGUCUAAUACUGGAUACGACCUCCUGUCGCAUGGUGGGGGGUGGAAAGGGUUUGACUGGUUUUGGAUGGGCUCACGGCCUAUCAGCUUGUUGGUGGGGUAAUGGCUCACCAAGGCGACGACGGGUAGCCGGCCUGAGAGGGUGACCGGCCACACUGGGACUGAGACACGGCCCAACUCCUACGGGAGGCACAUUGGGGAAUAUUGCACAAUGGGCGGAAGCCUGAUGCACCGACCCCGCGUGAGGGAUGACGGCCUUCGGGUUGAACCCUCUUUCCCAGGGAAAAAACCGGUGAGGAACCUGCAAAAACCGCCGGUAAU